UUAGGUGGUUAUAGCAGUGGGGUUCCACCUCUUCCCAUUCCGAACAGAGAAGUUAAGCCCACUCGCGCCGAUGGUACUGCGUUGCAUCGUGGGAGAGUAGGUCGCCGCCGUUU
rnacentral:rRNA from 2 species